rnacentral:rRNA from 1 species
GACGGAGGGUGCAAGCGUUAUUCGGAAUCAUUGGGCGUAAAGAGCGUGUAGGCGGCCGGUCAAGUCAGAGGUGAAAGCCCAGGGCUCAACCCUGGAAGGGCCUUUGAAACUGGUCGGCUUGAGUGCGGGAGAGGGAAGUGGAAUUCCUGGUGUAGAGGUGAAAUUCGUAGAUAUCAGGAGGAACACCGGUGGCGAAGGCGACUUCCUGGACCGACACUGACGCUGAGACGCGAAAGCGUGGGGAGCAAACAGGAUUAGAUACCCCUGUAGUCC